rnacentral:siRNA from 1 species
UUAUCUCCUUCAUACUAGACCUG